GGACGAACGCUGGCGGCGCGCUUUAUACAUGCAAGUCGAACGAGAAGCCAGAGCUUGCUCUGGUGGAAAGUGGCGAACGGGUGAGUAACACGUGAGAAACCUGCCCCAAAGACUGGGAUAAGCCGAGGAAACUUGGUCUAAUACCGGAUACCUUCUUUUUAUCACAUGUUAAAAAGAAGAAAUGCUCCGGCGCUUUGGGAUGGUCUCGCGACCUAUCAGCUUGUUAGUGAGGUAAAAGCUCACCAAGGCAUCGACGGGUAGCUGGUCUGAGAGGAUGUCCAGCCACAUUGGGACUGAGAUACGGCCCAAACUCCUACGGGAGGCAGCAGUAGGGAAUCUUGCACAAUGAGGGAAACCUUGAUGCAGCGACGCCGCGUGCGGGACGAAGGCCCUAGGGUUGUAAACCGCUUUCAGUAGGGACGAAAGUGACGGUACCUACAGAAGAAGCCCCGGCCAACUAUGUG
rnacentral:rRNA from 1 species